rnacentral:lncRNA from 1 species
AAACUAGAUGAGGCUGCAGUGUGGCACGGUGCUGGAGAUUGGUCUAACCUGUGUAAAGUCAGAACCCCUGGGUGUGUGGGUGGGUGGGGGGCAGGGAGGUGACAACCGGGUCCUUCCUAUGCUGGCUCUUUUGUGCCUCUUCCUCCCACAAUUAGGAAUGUUUGCAAUUACAUAAUGAGGCUGCUCAGCCCAGCCCUUAGGUUGGCAAUAGGACUGGAGAAUAGGAUACACCUGAAGACAGGCAGCCAUUGCUGUGUGUUCUGGACGCUUCAACAGAAGCGUCUGGUAAUCUGUGUGCAGUGUGAUAGGUCUCCUUCCGGAGGCCUGGUUCUUACCCAUGCCUCCG